UACGUAGGGGGCAAGCGUUGUCCGGAAUCAUUGGGCGUAAAGAGCGCGUAGGCGGCCCAGUAAGUCCGCUCUGAAAGUCAGAGGCUCAACCUCUGGAUGCGGGUGGAUACUGCUGGGCUAGAGUCCGGAAGAGGCGAGUGGAAUCCUGGUGUAGCGGUGAAAUGCGCAGAUAUCAGGAGGAACACCAAUUGCGAAGGCAGCUCGCUGGGACGUAACUGACGCUGAGACGCGAAAGCGUGGGGAGCAAACAGG
rnacentral:rRNA from 1 species